GAUUAACGCUGGCGGCGUGCAUAACACAUGCAAGUCGAACGAUGAAACUUAAAUGAUUUCUUCGGAAUGAACUUAAGUGGAUUAGUGGCGGACGGGUGAGUAACGCGUGAGUAACCUGCCUUACACAAGGGGAUAGCCGUUGGAAACGACGAAUAAUACCCUAUGAAACUAUCACUUCGCAUGAAGCGAUAGUCAAAGUGUUAGCGGUGUAAGAUGGACUUGCGUCUGAUUAGCUAGUUGGUGAGAAAAAAGCCCACCAAGGCAACGAUCAGUAGCCGGCUUGAGAGAGUGUACGGCCACAUUGGGACUGAGGCACGGCCCAGACUCCUACGGGAGGCAGCAGUGGGGAAUUUUGCACAAUGGGGGAAACCCUGAUGCAGCGACGCCGCGUGAUUUAGAAGGCCUUCGGGUUGUAAAAAUCUUUUGUAUAGGAAGAAAAUGACAGUACUAUACGAAUAAGGUCCGGCUAAUUACGU
rnacentral:rRNA from 1 species